AACAUAGGUGUGCAAACAUUUGUUUAAGCUUCUGUUUUCAGUUAAUCUUACACUCCCAGGGUGAAAUUGCUAGAUGGCAGGACCAUUCAUUUUUUUUUUAAACUUUUUUAGGCAUUGCCUGUAUUUUAAUUGUUCCUGGGAAGCAGCUUGGAUAGUCAGAUUCCUACUUCCCUAAGGACUGCCCAGUGUCCGCUGGUUCCCUGGACCCAUGGAGCCCCUUCAGAGGAACACAAUGAGAUGCCGACUCAUGCUCUGCACUGACGCCCCCUUGAUGGACUACUGGUGCUGCUCUAGCUGAGUUUUCUGAGAUUCUAGACUUAGGUGACACCCAAUAAUUACCAGCACUGAGACCAAAUCCAGAGCCAGGUUUCUGCUCUGCAAGUGCUCCACCAUUAAGCAACACCAGCCCCAGCAGGAUAUUUUUUACAGAAUUGAUCCAGCCUUGGUCCAGCUGAGUACUGCUGUUCUUGGUUUAUUUUGUGGCUGUGACAAAUACCUUGACAGAGAGCAGCAUGAUGGAGAAGAGGGUUUGUUUGGCUUACAAUUCCAGGUCACAGACCUUCACUGUGGGAAAGUCAAGGUAGGAACCUGAGGCAGCAAGUCACAUCUGCGGUAGGGAGCAGAGAGAAAUGCAUGCAAGCCUACCUCCUCCACUCUUGCAAAGUCCAAGACCCAAAACCAGGCACGGUACCACCAUCAAUGGGCUGUGUCUUCCCACAUCAACCAGCAUAGUUAAGACUGUUCCCCACAGGUGUGUCCAACCAGACCUAGCUAAUCCCUCACCGAAACUGUCUUCCUAGAUGAUUCUGGACUGGGGUAAGUUGACAUGAACUGUCACACCUUCCUCUCCUAAAACCCUUCAGUGGCUUUCCCUUUGUGUUUGAAUGAAACCCAAGCCUGAUCUCAUCAUCUGUAAUGUAAUUUGUGGAAGGACUGAAUGCCACACGGUGUGAGCAGCCUGCAUCCAGCCUGGCCUUUAACAGGUGCACCCCAGAGCAGGUGCCCUUGACCUUGCUUCCCAGCCUUCUCUACCACUUCCAGAGACAGUUCUUUGAAAUUAGAUAGUUCCUAGAAACAAGAUGCAUCUACUUUAAAACUUCGCCUUUUUAAAUUGUAUUUAUUAUUAUGUUGUUGUUUUGAAACAGUCUCCCUGUGUAGUCCUGGCCUAGGACUUGUGACUUUUCUCUUGCCUGUCUCCCUAGCAUGUGCCACCAUACCUUACUGCGAUUUCAUUUGAUCGACGCUCUCUGACUUCCUGUGGCCUCCCACACUCCCUUCCAAGGGCAUUUGGAGUAUAGCAAGAACCUGUUCUUACAAGCUUUUGCUUGUUCCAGCUACUAGAAUAUUCUGCAUAGCUCUUACUAUGUCUGGCCCUCAUGCUAAAAUUCUCAAGGGUUCAAAGUCACUUCCUUCAAAGCUAGCCUGACUUGAGUGGCAGCACCCGACCCUGCUCUCCAUCCCAGAAUGUCACCCAUCACUGACACCUGUGUUUCCUUUGCAGCUUGGCCUAUAGCCUUCCUAAGCAUUUUCUUGCUGUGUUUCUUUUCUGCUUCUCUGGCUGGAUCAUUUGAUCUCUAUCAAUUUGCCUUGUGUCUUUAUUUUUUCUCCAGGGCUUAAGAUUGUGUCUAAUGCAUACAAGCUUCAUGGAUGGAUUCUAAUGCCGUUUUCCUGCAUCUGCCCAGCAGCAAGCUGUCACUGGGUCCCUUGACUUCUCAAAGCUCUUCUGACUCAUUGGUUGAGACCCACCUUGAUUUGAGUUUUGAACUGGGGAUACUUGAAAAGAGAGAUAGUGUGGUUCUUAGAACCAGACCCUGUGUUCGAAUUAUAAUCCCUCAGAUGCUUCUGGGGGCCACACAGCCCAACACAGAAAACAAAAGGAAGAGCAGACCCCCACGGAGCUUCAUAUCAAUUUUCACUUAGUCUUUGGUAAAGUUCCACAAUGCCUGCUUUAGAGCACACAGUAGGCACUCAAAAGCCUUAGCAGGUAUAAGACAGCAUCAAGCAUAGACCAACCAGCUGGUUUACAAGGUCAGAAUAAAAAGACAGCAAUUUAAGUGUCUUAGUCACUCUUCUGUUGCUGUAAAGAGACACCAUGGCCAAGGCAACUUAAAAAAAGAGAGCAUUUAAUUGGGAGCUUGCUUACAGUUUCAGAAGUUAGUCCAGUGGCUGUUAUGGCAGAGAGCAUAGCAGGAGGCAAACAAGCAGGCAGGCAAGCAGAAAAGGUAUUAGAACAAAGCAGCUGAGAGCUUACAUCUGAUUGGAAAGCCUGAGGCAGAAAGGCAGAUAACUGGGCCUGGUCAAAGCUUUUUCAAACUCAAAAUCCACCUCCAGCAAUACACCUCCACCAAGGCCACACCUCCUCCUCCCUCUUCUUUUUUUUUUUAAGAUUCACUUACAUUAUUUUAACUACAUGUGUGUGUGGUGGUGGUGGCAUUGCACAUGGAUGCAAAUGCUCACAGAGGUUAUAGGUAUGAGACUGCCCCUGGAGCUGGGGUGCAGACAGUUGCAAACCACCUGAAGUGGGUGCUGGGACUUGAACUCAGGUCCUCAGGAAGAGCUCUUAGUGUCUCCAGCCCCAGGCCACACCUCCUAGUCCUUUCCAAACAGUUCCAUGAACUGUGGAUUAAGCAUCUAAAUAUUUGAGCCUAUGGGGGACCAUUCUCAUUCAAACCACCCCACCACAAAUGACAAGAAAGGCUGUUUCAACAGUUGACAAUAAAGAAGGCAUGACAGUGUCUUAUGAAGGAGUUAACACAAUGACAUGGAUCUGUAGACGGCUGCCAGCCAUUCAGAGCAUAAUCAAAAGGAACAAGCUGGCACACAUGAACAUAAAUGUCCACAUACAAUGUUUGUAGACAUUUCAUUCAUAGUUGUAGCUGAGGAUGGGGCUCUGUUAGUAGAACUCUUCUCUAGCAUACACGAAGCCCUCUCUUAGUCCCCAGCACCACAUAAACCAGGCAUGGCAUAGUGGCAAACUCCAGAAACUCUAGACCUUAGGUGGUGGAGGCAAGAGAUCAGAAGUUCAAAGUCCAACUACGCAGGAAGUUCAAGACCAGCCUUAGCCAAAACAACAAAAGACCCUUUCCCAAAACAACAAAAAGUUUCAUUCAUGAUUGUCAAAAUGGACAGCAAGAUGGCUUGGCAGGAAAAGAUGCUUGCGACUAAGCCUGUGUUCUAUACAGGGUAGAAGGUAAAAGCUCCCCCUGCAAGCUGUUCUCUAACCUCUACACACACAGUAAUGGUACAUCCACACCUUUCCCUCACAGGAAAUUCAUUAAUUAAUUAUUCUUAGGGUUCCAAUUUCUGUGAUGAAACACCAUGACCAAAGGCAACGUGGAAGGAAAGAAUUUAUUUCAGCUUACACUUCCACAUCAGUCCAUCACAGAGAAGUCAGGGCAGGAACUCAAAAUUGAGCAGGACCAUGGAGGCAGGAGCUGAUACAGAGGCCAUGGAGGGCCACUAAUCACUGGCUUGCCCCUUGCGACUUUCUUACCACAUCCAGGAUCAUCAGCCCGCAGGUGCCACCAUCCACAAUGGCUGGGUCCACUCAUAUAAACCAUCAAUCAAGAGAAUGCGCCAUAGAAUGAGUCUAUUAGUCAACCUGGUGGAGGUAUUCUCUCUUUUGAGGUUCCCACUACCAAAAUUACUCUAGCCUGUGUCAGCUUGACAUAAAAAUUAGCACAUAAAUUUAGUAAAAAAAAAAAAAAAUCAAAAUUAACAAAGAUACCAUAAUUUUCAACAGUUGUAGACAAUUCAAAAGGUGAAUUAGUAAACUGAAGUUCAACAGUUCAACAAUACCAUGGGAUAUAAUUAAGCAGACUUAAUAAAUGAGCUCUCAGCUAUAAAAACAAAAACAAAAACAUGAAAGAAACUUAAGAACAUACUACUUAGUGAAGGAAGCCAUUCUGAAAAAUUCACAAAGGGCACUGUGGAAUAAACAAAAACAUAGAGAUGAAAACAUAAAGAAAUAAAAACAGACAAAACCAGAAAACUACAGUGCUGCUCUGGGGCUGUGUCUUAUUUUUCUCCCUGACGAAAGCAAUUUGAGAGGGAAAGGGUGCAUUUUUGCCACAGUUCAAGGUGGAGAAGUCAACUCAUCUGCUGCCCAGCUCUGGCUCUCCAUGUACUUGGUCCAAGAUCCUAGCGCCAGGAAUGAUUCUGUCCACAGUGGGUGAGUCUUCCCACCUCCAUUAAAAAAAAGUCAAGAUAGCUGGGCGUGGUGGCACACGCCUUUAAUCCCAGCACUCGGGAGGCAG
rnacentral:lncRNA from 1 species